rnacentral:tRNA from 1 species
UCCUUAGUGGUCCAAUGGCUAAGACUCUUCCCUCCCAAUGCAGGGGUCCCAGGUUCAAACCCUGGUCAAGGAA